UUCCUAUGUUCUUCCUCUCCAAGGACUGCUGUUGAGACCUGUGUCACCUUGAGCAAGAGUGAGAGAGACUUAGAGAAGGUCCACAUACGGACAGAACGAGAUCGAGAAAAUCAGUCUAUGCUAAUCACCCCAGGCAGCUUGCAUUUGGAAAAAAGAUGAUACUGCUAUGAACCCCAAGCUUUAAGGAUGUACAAGACUCUGGACCUGGUCCCAACACUUCAUCGGCAUUGAAAAAUGUCUGGAGUGGAACAAUUCCACCUUUGCCAAAUGCCAUGUCUGACCCCCAAGAUAAGAUCAGAAACAUGAAGGAUGGUUUAUCUGAAAGUCUGCUCAGCCAGAUGAUGCCACACAUACAUGCUGGGUAGGAGAAUGUCUGCAUUCACCUGGAUACGACAGUCACCUGGGAGACCCAGACUUCCCACCCUCAUGCAACUCAAGCAUUCCCUGGACCUGGAUCAUUUGGAGCUCAAAGCUCCCCAUGUGUUUUCAAUGUGCUGCCAGAGGCCUAGAGGCCAUCGCUUCGGUUGCAAAUAG
rnacentral:lncRNA from 1 species